rnacentral:lncRNA from 1 species
CACAAAAAGGUGAGGUUUUGCCUUGAGCACGGAGCUGGAGGUGAGGGGAAUGCGGAGGCGAGAGGAUGGGGCUGCUUUUUCCAGUAGAAACAGAGGCUUAUGGCUGACUUCAACUGAUCAGGAUAAUUUCCACUUGCUUUUUUUAAAGGUGCUCCUAGACAAUACAUUCAGGUUUGAUUUCCAGUUUUAAAAUAUGCCCUCAUCUGCUUCUGCAAAACCUUUUAUGGAAGUUGUACUUAAACAUAAAGUAUCUAAUACUGUUUUAAGAAAACCUCCUUCCUCUGGAUAUUAAAAAUAUACAUUUACCAGGAAGAGUUGAACUUAACUACAUCAAAACUACCCAUUUGACACUGGAGUUGCUUUUGGUUCAAAGCUGGGGAGGAAGGGAAGUCUUUUCAUUUGUGGGUGAAUUAAGCAUCCAUUUUUCUUUGUUUCCUGCCUCUAGUGCCUGAUUUCCCAGAGGGCGCGAGGAGGUGGCUCCUGUGACAAGUAAAAGGGGAGCUCUCUCAUGAACUCUGGCACCACGCUCCUGGAGGGAUACCCUUGGCUGGUUACGUGAGGUUUCCAGACGCAAGAUGCAACCUCAGUGGGAAGAGCACAGCAGGGACAAAGCAUCAAGCCCAAAGAUCAAAUCAUCCAUGAGGUUGCUGGUGGCUUAUUGCAUGCUGGAACUCAACGUACAGUCCAGCUUGAUGCACCGGAGCUGGGUCGAUCCCAGCACUGGACAAGGAGGUUCCUGGCUCCUGCAACACUGGUGUCCUGUGCUGUCUGGUGGCUUCACUCUGCCUCCUCGAUGGGUUUAGCAAAUAAAACUGCUCAGGACAGAAAUCCA